UACGUGAGGACCAAGCGUUGUCCGGAAUCAUUGGGCGUAAAGAGCUCGUAGGCGGCUUGUCACGUCGAUUGUGAAAGCCCGAGGCUUAACCUCGGGUCUGCAGUCGAUACGGGCUAGCUAGAGUGUGGUAGGGGAGAUCGGAAUUCCUGGUGUAGCGGUGAAAUGCGUAGAUAUCAGGAGGAACACCGGUGGUGCAGACGGCUCCCUGGACCGUAACUGACGCUGAGACACGAAAGCGUGGGUAGCAAACAGG
rnacentral:rRNA from 1 species